ACAUCCAGAGAACUUAGCAGAGAUGCUUUGGUGCCUUCGGGAACUCUGAGACAGGUGCUGCAUGGCUGUCGUCAGCUCGUGUUGUGAAAUGUUGGGUUAAGUCCCGNAACGAGCGCAACCCUUUAUCCUUUGUUGCCAGCGGUUCGGCCGGGAACUCAAGGGAGACUGCCGGUGAUAAACCGGAGGAAGGUGGGGAUGGCGUCAAGUCAUCAUGGCCCUUACGGCCAGGGCUACACACGUGCUACAAUGGCGCAUACAAAGAGAAGCGACCUCGCGAGAGCAAGCGGACCUCAUAAAGUGCGUCGUAGUCCGGAUUGGAGUCUGCAACUCGACUCCAUGAAGUCGGAAUCGCUAGUAAUCGUAGAUCAGAAUGCUACGGUGAAUACGUUCCCGGGCCUUGUACACACCGCCCGUCACACCAUGGGAGUGGGUUGCAAAAGAAGUAGGUAGCUUAACCUUCGGGAGGGCGCUUACCACUUUGUGAUUCAUGACUGGGGUGAAGUCGUAACAAGGUAGGCGUAGCGAG
rnacentral:rRNA from 1 species